AACGAACGCUGGCGGCAGGCUUAACACAUGCAAGUUGAACGGGAUUUGCGGAGUGCUUGCACUAUGCAAAGAGAGUAGCGCACUGGUGAGUAACACGUGGGAACAUACCAUAGACUGGGGGAUAACGUUGGGAAACUGGCGAUAAUACCGCAUACGCCCUGAGGGGGAAAGAUUUAUUGGUCUAUGAUUGGCCCGCGCAACAUUAGGUAGUUGGUUAGGUAACGGCUAACCAAGCCUACGAUGUUUAGCUGGUCUGAGAGGACGAUCAGCCACACUGGGACUGAGACACGGCCCAGACUCCUACGGGAGGCAGCAGUGGGGAAUCUUGCGCAAUGCGCGAAAGCGUGACGCAGCAACGCCGCGUGGGGGAAGAAGGCCUUCGGGUUUUAAACCCCUUUCAGUUGGGACGAAGCUCCGUCGGUGAAUAUCCGGCUGGAGUGACGGUACCUUCACAAGAAGCCCCGGCUAACUACGUGCCAGCAGCCGCUGUAA
rnacentral:rRNA from 1 species